GCCCUCAUAGCUCAAUGGAUAGAGCAGCUCCGUCCUAAGGAGACGAUGUCAGUUCGAUUCUGGCUGAGGGCACCU
rnacentral:tRNA from 1 species